AUACCUUUCUCGGCCUUUUGGCUAAGAUCAAGUGUAGUAUCUGUUCUUAUCAGUUUAAUAUCUGAUACGUGAGCCAUUGGCUCACACGAUAUUAACUCAAUUUUCAUAGGGGAAGGGCCCAUUUAGGUAGCUUGCUGCCUGGGCCUUUGAGUGUUGCAUUGUUACCUUGGCUUGGCACACCCCAU
rnacentral:snRNA from 1 species